AAGACCUUGCACUUUUGGAGCGGCCGAUGUCUGGUUAGCUAGUUGGUGGGGUAAUGGCCUACCAAAGCUUCGAUCAGUAGCUGGUCUGAGAGGACGGCCAGCCACACUGGGACUGAGACACGGCCCAGACUCCUACGGGAGGCAGCAGUGGGGAAUUUUGGACAAUGGGCGCAAGCCUGAUCCAGCCAUGCCGCGUGAGUGAAGAAGGCCUUCGGGUUGUAAAGCUCUUUCAGCCGGGAAGAAAAGGUUGCGACUAAUAAUCGCAAUUCAUGACGGUACCGAAAGAAGAAGCACCGGCUAACUACGUGCCAGCAGCCGCGGUAAUACGUAGGGUGCGAGCGUUAAUCGGAAUUACUGGGCGUAAAGGGUGCGCAGGCGGUUUUGUAAGUCAGAUGUGAAAUCCCCGGGCUUAACCUGGGAACU
rnacentral:rRNA from 1 species